rnacentral:rRNA from 1 species
UACGUAGGGUGCAAGCGUUGUCCGGAAUUAUUGGGCGUAAAGAGCUCGUAGGCGGUUUGUCGCGUCUGCUGUGAAAACUCGGGGCUUAACCCCGGGCGUGCAUUCGAUACUGCGCGGCUCGAGACAGGUAGGGGAGAUCGGAAUUCCUGGUGUAGCGGUGAAAUGCGCAGAUAUCAGGAGGAACACCGGUGGCGAAGGCGGAUCUCUGGGCCUGUUCUGACGCUGAGGCGCGAAAGCUAGGGGAGCGAACAGG